rnacentral:lncRNA from 1 species
AGCGAUUCGAUAAAAGCUUUUCUUAUAUCAACGAGCGAUAUUGUCUUAUAUCAACGAGUUGCAUUGUGGGAAAUUUCAGACGAAUGUUAGCAUUUGUACAAAGAAAGGCAGAUUUCUCGGCAUAAAGUAAUGACUCUUUUCUUAUAACAGGGUGACAUUUAACACGACAUACGUCUGGUGUAUAAUUUUCAUGAAUUAUUUUAUGUAAUAACAAGCAAUGUGUAUUUAAACGAGAAAAUUGAAUUGUUGAAUAAAUAAAACAUAAAUGCACGAUUUAUCAUUUGUAGAUGUACACACUCUAUAAAUAUCAUGUAGCAAAUUCAGUGGAAUGCAAUUGAGAUGAAUUCAAUUGUUU